UACUCCUCCAUUGGUCGUUCGUGGCAUGAUGGAGGUUGAAUUGCUAGGAAACUGCAUUGGAUUCUAGUCCUAUAAUACUCCUAUAAAUUUAAAGGCCAUUCGGGCAGAGAAAUGAUAAAGGCUGGGAGGCUAGUGUGCUUACCAGGUGGCAUCACCAUUAGACAGUAUACUGCCAUGAAGAAGUUCGCUUCUUGCCUCUCUUCCCUGCAGGCGAUGUACGCGUCGAUGACGAUCAUCCUGGCCAUCACGAUCUCUUGCUCCGUCGUCGUGCACUGCUCCAAGGUCCAAGGCUCCGACGGGCCCAUUCAUGAUGCGGCUGUAGCUCAUCUGGACGGAGAUCAUCGGGGUUCGGUGCCGCCCCCGCCGCACAGCGGCCCUACUACGCACACGCACUUCACCAUGCCGCCGCCGCCGCAGCAACGCCGCCUUUUGCACCUCACCGGAAGAUGGACCGGAGCUUGAAGUAACGUCGACGGUGUCAGUGUUGUGAGGCCUCCUCCAACGGGAGCACGUCAGCUAGCUCAGAGCUAGCUGACGUUGGAUUCCUGCUGUCGUGGAUGUGAGAGAGAGUCUGAAAAACUCCACGCUAGCGUGGGAAGAAGAGAUAAGCUCAUUCGCCCGUCCCAAGGCACAGCUGGGCCUACCGCUCCUUCUCGCUCCCUUCCCCCUCUGCUCUCUCCCUCUCUCUCCCUUCGCCAAUCGCCAGACUGACAAAGGACGAGUGGACGACGGCAGCGCGAGGCGCGCACGACACGGCGGCGGCUGUGCGCCGGUGUGACCCCCACUGCGGGAGCCGGCAGGUGGCCGGCACGCCGGCGAGCGUGAGCGGGGCCCGGCGCUGCUGGGAGGCGGCGCGCAGGCCCAUCCCGACGGGACCACGUCAAGCGUCCGGCCAGCAGCGACUGGACGGCGGCGCGCGGGCCUGCGCGGGGGCAGGCCCGGGCACUGCGGCCGGCCGGUGGUGGCGCGCAGGCCGGCGCGGGCAAGGCCGAGGCACCGCGGCCGGCCGGUGACGGCGUGCAGGCCCCGCGCGGGCGAGCCGGCGAGGCCAAGUCGGCGCGCACGGGCGGCGGACGGCGACCGACCGGCGAAGCUGCUGCGCGGCGGCGCACAUGCCCGCACGGGCAAGGGAACGGUGAUGCCACGGCUCGUCGGAGCCGCCGAGAAGGAGACGACGGUGACGGAGAAGGACCAAUAAAAAUAUGACUUUUCUAGAUGGGACCCACAUUUUGAUACGUGUGCUAUAAGUUAAAAUCAUUUGGGAAGUCGACCACGUAGGCCUUUGAGCUAUCUGGUUGACUCAGCCGCCUGAGUUGUGACCCCUUUUAUCACGUUGUGUUGUGCGUGUACGGUCAAUGGCAGGUCGAGAUCGACAAUGUUCUUCGCAGCAUCACCUUCAUUAUCAUAGUUUUAGUUGUACA